UCAAAAGAUAGUUUAAAAAAAACACUGGCCCUGGAUCCCAGCAAUAGAUAUUUUAAUCUUCUUUUGAU
rnacentral:tRNA from 1 species